UAAUGGUCUUGUGCCCACGAACCUCAAACACUUUUUCCUGAAAUCUCCUAGAAAACUUCAAAUGAGAUUUAAUGCCUGAUAGCAAAUUGCAGCAAAAUAGACAAGUUGCAGCUUCAGACUUGUUCUUUACAUAGUAGUGUAUUUUAUCAACUGUUCUGUUCUUGAAUGUUUCACAUUCAUGAGUUUCAUGAUCAACAUUGGUUUUCCCCUCUUUUUCUCCCCCUCCCCCAAACAAACCAGCAACAAUCAAAACAAAACAAAAAACCACAACUCUGGACUCUUCAUACAGAAAGAAGGAGUAACUUGUGUACUCAGAAUACUUUUAAAUAAAAACUGAGAUGGUGCCUAUAAUUUUUUUUUGUUGUGUUUACCUUGUGGAGCAAAGCUCCAUUGCCCUGCUCAAAAUACUAUUUAUUACCAAAACCCAAGAUUAACUAACUUGAUUAUAACUUAUACAGAGAGAAGUGGAAAAAUAAUCAGUAUCCUUUAAACAACUAUUGUAAGCUUUCCAUUGAGUGUCUUGACUAAGUAUAUAGGUAUAUAUAUAGUAUAAAAAAAUCUGGUAAAGUGAAUGUUUCCUUACUAAUGAGUUAUUUCAAAGUGCUUUAUCAGGUUCUGAGAGUAAAGACUUAGGCCCCAUCUAUUCUUGGCGCAGAUAGUCUUCACUGACAUGCCAAGUGUAUGAACAUGAAUUGGCUAACUUGUAUUAUAUUGAAGGCAGGCCAUAGCUUGAGGGAAAAUGGUAUAUACAGUUAGGUAUGUGAACCUGCGGCUCUUGAACCCUUUGUUCAGAGGCGCAGCUGUGGAGAUAGUGAGCCUACUCAUAGUCUCUGCACUAGAAAAGAGAUUACAAACAGGCAUGAACUUAAUGGUUCACAUAACCCUUGUUUUCAAAGCUCUUUUACAGUAAUAGUUCUUUUCAUGAAGAUAAUAUGCCAGUAACACAAAUCUAAAUACUGAGGUACCAGUUCUAGGUAAUGCUAUAUGAAAAACUGCAUUGCAAAAUACUUCUUGGUGGCUAAAGUGAUACAGCUUCUAGGGUUAAAACUUUAAAAGGACUUACUCUAGUCCAGACAAGAGAGCUUUGGCAGAUGAAGACAGAUGUUUACUGUAAGGUAUGAAACUGGGUAUAUAAUGUGUCAGCUUUUUUGCUGCAAGCUUAUUUACUAGUUUGCUUUUUCCCCUAUCAUUCUGUUCCUGAAAUCUCAACAGUUCUAAUACUUUAUCCUUCCAUUUCUUACCGAUUCGUCAAAGCAGGUUAAAUUAGCUAUUGUGAUAAUGCAACAUAAGCCUCCUUUACUGGACAUACGUGAACUGAUGGGUAUUAAAUUGCCAUUGGUGUAGAAGUGAAAUUAACUUCAGCUGUGGUUUGACUAGGUCAGGAAGGUCUCUGUCUGUUGAUGUAAGGAUACAGAGGUCUGUGGUUAACUGAUGCUUUUUGUUAUAUGGUGGUACAGAUGAAGAGAUCUUUAUCCCAGGAUUUGGGCCUUUACAGUGUUGGAAUACCUGUGGCUUACUGUCCCCUUGAUUUACCUUAGGAUAAGUAGUCCUUGGAAAAACAUAAAGGGACAGACAGCUCUUUAACUGUACCAUAUUACAUUCUAAUCAAGAGCCUGGAAUGUUUUUACAAAUGUAUGACAUAGCUUAUUUCAUACAGCACUUUUUAUCAGAAGAUGCAGUAGGUCUUUUUCCAAGAUUGUAGGACUCCUGGUCCUGGUAAACUACAAAGAUCAGCUGGCAUGGCUUUCUCCAGGAUGCAGGGAUCUUUACUUUUUUUUUCCAAAGUACAAUACAACUGGAAAUGCAUCAUCACAUCAGCUCUGAAUAAACAGGGUAACUGCUCUGUAAGAAACUUAAAUCUGACUUAAGUUAAAAUCUGUAAAGUUAGUCUUCCAGAAACUGACUUCUUAAAAAUAAAACCAACAACAAAACACAAAAUAACUGAGUUGUAAAUCACCUUUUGGAUUAAUUGCAACAUAUUGAUCAGGAGGUUGGUUUUAACUUAAGUGCGUAUUGCACUGUUGGAUCAUAUAAAAUUGAAAUGUUUUAAAUCUGCUAUACUUUGGAAUACACUGUCACAAAUAGUCUUUGUAUAACUUUUGUAAAGCCUGAAAAUACAACUUUGUAAAACACUUCCGGGUGAGGAUGCAAGUCUUAUUUUAAAUACUUCUGCUCUUCUGCUUUUAGAAGAACAUAAGUAAUACAUGUAAAAUAAAGGUUUUAUUUUAGACAGCAGUGAAAGUGGUACAUAUAAUAUAUUCUUAACAUACUGUGCAUGUUUUAUUACAGGAGGCCCCUACUCGUAUUUGUUUUGGCCAGUUUUUAUGUAUGAUCUAAAAUAAAAAUCCUUGGCUAGCAAGCAUUUUGUUGGCAGUAGCUGCAUAUAGCAUUUACAUCUAGCAUACCAUAACUGCAGCCUUAAUGGUUUAUCCUGUUCAUGCCUUGUAAACUUGGAACUUUUCCGCAUAAGUUUCUGCGAACUUGUAAAUUCCCAGAAGUAGAUAUGAAAAAUUAAGGUAAGGAUCAGUGAAAUUCUUAGAUGGUGAUAUGACUACACACGGAAAGCAAUCUUCUUCUUCUAUGCUGUAAAUACAGGAUUUGAAUAGAUGCCUGUCAAAAUCUGAAGUUUGCCAACAGCCAAAGAAAAGUUUCAUUGUCAUUAUGGUCUUGCAAUAAAUUCUAAGCGAUCAGAAAAUCAGCUUCUAAAAAGAGUUGCACCUCUUGAAGAGCACAACUCACUGCUCUUUCAAGUGCCUUAGCACAGAGCUGGGUCCUUGCAGAACUUGGCAUGUUCCUAAGCAAUGGCCUUAUUUGCCAUUGUUAAACAAGUCGUAGAGGGCCCAGCCUAAGAUUUUGCAGUUCCCUCUGGAGGACAGUGACUGCAGUUUACCUUUUAAAGGUCUCAAAAAGACCUGAUUUUUGCCAGAGUAGUAUUUCUCAACAGUGCAGCAGGGAGGCAGUUGUCUCAUCCACUAGCAGUAUGAUGGGUGGAGGAAGUCAUUGGUCUUCAAGAACUACUGUCUGCUACAGGAUCAGGGAAGGAGUCUCACUGUUCACCCUGCAUGAGGCAAACAGCCAGCAGCAGCAGUUACAGUUAUGGCAAGUGAAUUUAGUUUUCAGCAUGCUUACCUCACUCACAUCUUCUGUCUCUAUUUUGUAUAUCACACAUAAGAAGCAGGCACACCCAACUGCUGACGUGUGAUGUUAAAAAAAAACCCUGAAAGAAUGUAUUUCCUAUGCAAUGCAGUAGAAUCUUUAUUAAACAUUUGUAGUUAAUAAACACUUCAAAAUAAAAGUGGUAUACCUCUGAGGUGUGACCUGCAUAGCAUUUUAGUUUCAUUUCCUUUACAUAUGAUACGUAUUUUAUCAGAACAUUUAAAAGCUACACCUUAAGGACUAAAUUCUUACUGCAUAUAGAAGUGCAUAGAAUAAUGCAGAACUGUUUCCCAAUCACCAGUGAGGUGAAGUACUGCUUGACAGAAUGCCAGAUAUGCAAGGAAAACUACUGUAGUUUCCUCUGCCGAUAAAAAGAAUUGGUUUUGUUUGAAACUCUUCAUUAGAGCCAGUAACAGCACUAGUUAACAGGAACAUGUUUUAAGAAAGUAAAAAAAAAAAACAACACACAAAAAACAACCAACCCCAAAAAACUACAACAAUUA